rnacentral:rRNA from 1 species
GGCGGACGGGUGAGUAAUGCUUGGGAAUCUACCUAGUAGUGGGGGAUAACGUGUGGAAACGCACGCUAAUACCGCAUACGCCCUACGGGGGAAAGGAGGGGAUCUUCGGACCUUUCGCUAUGAGAUGAGCCUGCGUUAGAUUAGCUAGUUGGUAGGGUAAAGGCCUACCAAGGCGACGAUCCGUAGCUGGUCUGAGAGGAUGAUCAGCCACACUGGGACUGAGACACGGCCCAGACUCC